UACGUAGGGUGCAGGCGUUAAUCGGAAUUACUGGGCGUAAAGCGUGCGCAGGCGGUUUCUUAAGUCAGAUGUGAAAGCCCCGGGCUUAACCUGGGAACUGCGUUUGAAACUGGGAGACUUGAGUGUAGCAGAGGGGGGUGGAAUUCCACGUGUAGCAGUGAAAUGCGUAGAUAUGUGGAGGAACGCCGAUGGCGAAGGCAACCCCCUGGGUUAACACUGACGCUCAUGCACGAAAGCGUGGGGAGCAAACAGG
rnacentral:rRNA from 1 species